rnacentral:ncRNA from 2 species
UGAUAGCCUCUGGGGGCCAGUCGAGCCACAUCCGAGGCCAGGGAAUCCGGUGCGAAUCCGGAACUGACGCGCAGCGGUGAGGGGGACGGGCGGGGCACACCAUGCCACUGGGAAGGGAACGGGCCGGCCGAAGGGCGGGCGCGGGACCGCCCCGGGAAGGCGCCUCGUCCGGGCGAACCCGAGUCCGAAGACCUGCUGGCACCUCCGCGCCCCG